AAACAGGCAAUGAUGGGAAGAAGGCGCGUCCCGUCCCGCUCAGAGAACCGGUGGUCGGUGCGAACCGGCGCGGGGAAGCGCGCGGAUACUGAGCCCGGAGCCGCCCGUCCGAACCCCAGGCAGUAGGGCGGGCCGUCACGGCCACGUUACCGGCCGCGGCCUUGUUGGAGGCCAUGAGCGCCCCUUGGUGACAAUGGGCGGAAGCAGGGUGGUACCGCGUAAAUUUUACGCCCCUGAC
rnacentral:ncRNA from 1 species